rnacentral:rRNA from 1 species
UCAGCGAGUCUUUAUCCUUGGCCGACAGGCACGGGUAAUCUUUGAAAUUUCAUCGUGAUGGGGAUAGAUCAUUGCAAUUGUUGGUCUUCAACGAGGAAUUCCUAGUAAGCGCGAGUCAUCAGCUCGCGUUGACUACGUCCCUGCCCUUUGUACACACCGCCCGUCGCUCCUACCGAUUGAAUGAUCCGGUGAAGUGUUCGGAUCGCGUCGACGUGAGCGGUUCGCUGCCCGCGACGUCGCGAGAAGUCCACUGAACCUUAUCAUUUAGAGGAAGGAGAAGUCGUAACAAGGUUUCCGUAGGUGAACCUGCGGAAGGAUCAUUGUUGAAUCCCUAAAAACAAAAAUUACAUGAGAAUAUGUUCAAUAGCAUGCAACGGGUGUGAGGGUAAAGCCUCUUCGUCCGUUGCUCUUUGUCCGGCCAAUCGUUGGUUGUGUUGGGCAGUAAAAAACAAAAAUCGGCACGGGAAGUGCCAAGGGCUUAUGAAAUGGGAUGCUUUAUCGUGGAAGGGGGACCGUUUGCGGUAUACCUUUAUCACGAUUCUCAAAAGGUCUCCGUAAAAGAAACCUUAUACGACUCUCGACAACG